rnacentral:tRNA from 1 species
UGGGGCGUGGCCAAGUGGUAAGGCAACGGACUUUGGAUCCGUGAUCGUUGGUUCGAAUCCAGCCGCCCCAG